CGAAGGGGGCUAGCGUUGCUCGGAAUUACUGGGCGUAAAGGGAGCGUAGGCGGACUGUUAAGUUAGAGGUGAAAGCCCAGGGCUCAACCUUGGAAUUGCCUUUGAUACUGGCAGUCUUGAGUACGGAAGAGGUAUGUGGAACUCCGAGUGUAGAGGUGAAAUUCGUAGAUAUUCGGAAGAACACCAGUGGCGAAGGCGACAUACUGGUCCGUUACUGACGCUGAGGCUCGAAAGCGUGGGGAGCAAACAGGAUUAGAUACCCUGGUAGUCCACGCCGUAAACGAUGAGUGCUAGUUGUCGGCAUGCAUGCAUGUCGGUGACGCAGCUAACGCAUUAAGCACUCCGCCUGGGGAGUACGGUCGCAAGAUUA
rnacentral:rRNA from 1 species